CAAUACUCCCGCCGGCGACCGGCGCACGGGUGAGUAACACGUAUGAAACCUGCCCGUAGCAGGGGGAUAAGCGGAAGAAAUUCCGUCUAAUACCGCGUAACAACCCGAGGAGGCAUCUCCUCGGGUUUAAAGGAAGCGAUUCCGGCUACGGAUGGUCAUGCGUCGCAUUAGCUAGUUGGCGGGGUAACGGCCCACCAAGGCGACGAUGCGUAGGGGUUCUGAGAGGAAGGUCCCCCACACUGGUACUGAGACACGGACCAGACUCCUACGGGAGGCAGCAG
rnacentral:rRNA from 1 species